GUCACGCCUCCCGAGACUGGGGCUGUGCGGCCUCACGGAGAAACUGAGGCAGGCGCGAAGCGUCGAGUGCGCGCGUGGCCCUGCAGGCAGGCGGAGACCCUGGUGGCUCCCAUACACGUAACAGCACUCACUGCUCUUUGACGUUAGUGAAUAGACCGUAAGCUCCCUGGAGCAGGGACCUUAUCCCAGCGUCUACCGCGGCGCCCGUCACCUAGGAAACCUCCAUUUUCUAAGGCCUUUCAGCUGAUUGGAUGUGGUCCACCCAUGUUAUUGAAGAUAAUAUUUUUUAAGGCUUCCUCCUUGGAGGGACCUCAGAAGUCCCAGGCUUCAUAGUGUCAAGUUCAACAGAAAGAGUAGUUUUCAUCUUUCCACAGUUCUUAGAAAAGUCCUGAGACUGAGUUUUACUGGAGACUGCCAGGCUGCUGGUAUUCAAGGUAACUGCAGAACUAGGAAACAGGGAGAGGAUGAAGGAGGACAGAGCUCACUGUUUUCAUCAUGACUCAAAUGUUUUUCCAGAAUAAAUGCUCCUAGACUGCUGCGAGCCUUUGGUUACUUUUCAGAGUUCUGAAUACGUGAUUUUGACCAUUUUUGCUAGGCUUCAUGUUGCCUUUAUGGAGGAGAGAAUUUUCAGAGGUCCUUACUCUGUUAAUUUCACUGAUGUCACUAAAGUUACAGUUUUAACUCUUAUGGGUAUCUAUCUUUUCAGGCAAUGUCAGUUUAGUAAAAGGGACAGGAUGUUAGCAAAGGAAGGCAUUACCAGCAAUAAGAAGUGAUAGCUGCCACGGGAAGCAAAUGCAGAAACAGCAGCCUGGGCUGUUCCAUGCAGGGGAGUUCAGCUCAGGUGGGCAAAACCAGAUAACUAACAUGAACAGUGGAACAAUCAGUGAACCAAUACAAGGGUUAAAUAAGCUAGCAAUUAAAAGCUGUAUCACUGGUCUAAAGAUAGAAGAUCAAGUAGAAAAUCAGCGCAAGAGGAAAGAUAUACGAAAACUAAUGACCUUCAAGGUUUGGCUGAACAGCUGAACUGCAGGAUGGAUUGGAAUGCCUAGAACCAGAAACUUAGGAUGCCUAGAACCAGAAACUCAGCCAUUGCUGAGGUUCACUGCUUCUCAGCGCUGCUGCUUUAUACACACAAACUGUAUUCUCUCCCACUGUUUUGUCUUCUUUCAUAAAGCAGGAAACAUAGGUGCUCAUAACUUGUGAGUUUUAAGUCUUACUCUAGAGUUUACAAAUGCAAAUGCCUCUAGGUGCCAGGAAAGUGACAUAAGUAAGUGAAGCAAGCUGAAUGUGCCAAUCCUGAGUGGUGGGGACUGGCAAACUGGAAACCCCAUGCCCUGUCUCCAGAGUCAGCCAUGACUCACUGCCAGUCUAUUGCCAGGUAGGAAUGUGAGCUUAGACUUUCAGAUUUUUCCAGAGAAACUUGACAUCUAGAUUUUUAUGUGAAUAUCCUGAUUUCUAAUGCUGGCAGUGAAUUCAAACUAAAAACCAACACUGUGUUGUCCAAACAAAACACAUUUGUGGGUUACAUUUGACCUCUUGAUUCAUGUGUUACUUUUGGAGUUAAAUAACUCGAGGUCUGAAAAUUGACCACUGAGUUUGGCCACAUCAAGCUUAUUAAUGACCUUGACAAAGCCAAUUUCAGAAGAUGAUGGGGUGAUGCCUGAGUAGAGAGGGUUCAGUAGAGAACUGGGGAUGAGGAAGUAGCUAUGACCUAUAUGGACAGCUCUUUAAAGGAUUUGGCGUAGAGAGGAGCAGAGAAUUGGGGUAAGAGCUGGAGAGCACAGGAAGUUGCUAGGGGAUCUUAAAAGAGGGGACAAAUGACAGAAUGUCUGUUGAUGCUGAUGGAAAUAAUCCACUACAGGGUGAAAACGUCAUGAAAGAGGAGGAUUAUGCUAACACAUGAGGAAUUUCAUGGGCAGGAAGAAAUGGGGACUGGUUUACAAAUGGAGGAGCUGACCCUAGAUAGGAGCCCUUGAAGCUUGUGUAUUGGGACAGGACAGCAGAAUAUAUGGGAGCAGAUGCCUGUAGAUUUAGUGGCAGCAAGAUAAGGGAAUUCUCUUCAGAUUGCUCUAAUUUCUUGUGAAAGAAGAGGCAAGAUCACCAUCAACUGAGGGUGAAGAUGGAAUAGGAAGGGACAGGAGAGGUUGUGAUUCUGUCAUCUUGGAGUAGGCCCACAUCUUGGGGGCUAUCUUGGGGUGCUAUGCCUUACUCCUCUUUUCUGAACAUCAUUAAAAUGUAAUUUUGUAUUUUUGCAUUUAAUGCUAUCCCGCAGGCCCUGAAAGAUGCCUAAAAGGCAGCCUUCCCUCAGGUACCAUUGUGCUGAGGUUUGCCACCCGCAUCUUCUUGAGACAGCCCCACUAAGACAAUGAGAGCGUGUCCUGACCCAUUAAUGUGCCCAGGUUCCCAAACGCCUCUGUCAGCCUGUGGUCUUGACUUUGAAGUAAAACCAGUCCCCUGGUUGCUGUUUCCCCAGCAACAUUAACUGCUGGGGUGCAGAGUGAGGCAGGAGGAGAGUCAGACUUAGCCAGGCUUUGAGUUGCACCAGGCAGAUAAUGUAGAGGGAGGGGGGCAAGUCAUACUUUCCUACUUGUAGAGUAGUGCUUACUUUACAGAGUACCUAUGAAGAUUUGUAAAAA